rnacentral:rRNA from 1 species
CUCGGAGAUAGCUGGUUCUCCUCGAAAUAGUUUUAGGACUAGCCUUGUUAAGUAGCAUUUGGGGGUAGAGCACUGAAGGAGCUAGGGGCCAAACCAGGUUACCGAACUCUAUCAAACUCCGAAUACCAAGUGUGUAAAAACAGGAGUCAGACUGUGGGAGCUAAGUUCCAUGGUCAAAAGGGAAAGAGCCCAGAUCGUCAAUUAAGGUCCCAAAGAUAUAGUUAAGUGGAAAACGAUGUGAUUUUGCGUAAACAACCAGGAUGUUGGCUUAGAAGCAGCCAUUCAUUCAAAGAGUGCGUAAUAGCUCACUGGUCGAGUGAAGUUGCGCGGAAAAUUACCGGGGCUAAGCUAUACACCGAAAUUGCGGAUUUACAUUUGAAAGAUAAUGUAAGUGGUAGAGGAGCAUUCUGUAGUAGGAAGAAGCAUGACCGUAAGGACAUGUGGACGAAGCAGAAGAGAGAAUGCUGGAAUAAGUAGCGAGAGGAUGGUGAGAAUCCAUCCCGUCGAAAAUCUAAGGUUUCCCAGGGAAGGUUCGUCCGCCUGGGGUAAGUCGGGACCUAAGGAGAGGCCGAAAGGCGUAUCUGAUGGACAGCAGGUUGAAAUUCCUGCACUACGAAUAUACUUAAAAGAUUCAAGGGACGCAGAAGUGGAAGAUAACCAAGUAAGAGGAAAAGCUUGGCUCGCAAGAGGGAGUGAAAAUUAAAAGUAACGAAGUAUCAAGAAGCACGCUGACGAGAAAAGCUUGAAGAUAUUGUAUAUAAGUACCCGUACCGCAAACCGACACAGGUAGAUGAGGAGAGGAUCCUAAGACGAGCGGGAGAAGCAUUGUUAAGGAACUCGGCAAAUUAACCCCGUAACUUCGGAAUAAGGGGUGCUGAUGUAACAGUCAGUCGCAGAGAAAAGGCCCAAGCAACUGUUUAACAAAAACAUAGGUUUCUGCUAAAUCGAAAGAUGAAGUAUAGGAGCUGACGCCUGCCCAGUGCUGGAAGGUUAAGGGAAAGAGUUAGGGUUAAACCGAAGCUUAGAACUGAAGCCCCAGUGAACGGCGGCCGUAACUAUAACGGUCCUAAGGUAGCGAAAUUCCUUGUCAGGUAAGUUCUGACCCGCACGAAAGGCGUAAUGAUUUGGGCGCUGUCUCGACAAUGUCCCCGGCGAAAUUGUAGUACUAGUGAAGAUGCUAGUUACCUGCGAUAAGACAGAAAGACCCCAUGGAGCUUUACUGCAGUUUGAUACUGGGUUUCGAUGAUUUAUGUACAGGAUAGUUGGGAGACUAUGAAAGAGAGGCGUCAGCUUCUCCGGAGUCAUUGUUGGGAUACCAACCUUAAGUUAUUGAAAUUCUAACUUGUAAUCGUAAACCGGUUAGAGGACAAUGUCAGACGGGCAGUUUGACUGGGGCGGUCGCCUCCUAAAGAGUAACGGAGGCGCCCAAAGGUUUCCUCAGCGCGGACAGAAAUCGCGCGAAAGAGUGCAAAGGCAGAAGGAAGCUUAACUGAGAGACAGACAUGUCGACCAGAUACGAAAGUAGGGCUUAGUGAUCCGGUGGUUGUAAAUGGAAAUGCCAUCGCUCAACGGACAAAAGUUACCCUGGGGAUAACAGGCUUAUCUCCCCCAAGAGUUCACAUCGACGGGGAGGUUUGGCACCUCGAUGUCGGCUCA